rnacentral:lncRNA from 1 species
UUUUACUUCUAGAAACGUAGUCAUGCUUGCUUAUAUGCAAAAUCAAGUAUUCACCAUAUCUAUCCCGCUAUGAUGUCAUCUUCAAGGCUUCUCCUAAGACUUCCAUUUGGGUGAAGAAAACACAUCUUAUGAGUCACCGUUGGAUGUUCUCUGCCCGAUCAUCAACUCCUCUUCAUGGAGGCUGAGGAGCUAUCUGACUGGUACUCUGGAAAGAAUAACGUGGACGAGCUGAGCUGAGCCUGGCUCUCCUAUUUCCUUUUGGGAGUGACCUGUCUACUGAGAGUCUGAGAUUUCCUCUACUCCUCAAGCCCUGAGCCUUAAUUUGACAUCCCCCCAGCGUGUGGACACCUGCCCCAGCCCAGAGUGGCCUGAGACUGAGCAACCCGUCUGCCUCCUUCUGGGGCUCAGGUGGAAGCCCAGUUUAUCUCUCAUUCCACUCUGUCGUCUCACCUGGCUUCCCUCGGGAACAAAGGAAACGGCAACUGGGAUCAGACAAUGGGAUUUUGAAGGAAAACACGAGAGGCUGAUAUUUCAGUUGUGACACGGGACCUUGGGACAAUCUUCUACGUUUCCUCACCGCAGAGGGGCCAGCCAUCUCUCGAAGCCCUUCAGCACCGGCUCGUCUUCUCUGAAACUUCAAGAUGGAGUGAGUAAAAAAAUGGCAGUUUCAGAGUUAGCUGGGUGUCAGACUCCAGUGCCCCCGCGUCCUGACUCAUGACCUUGAGUACGUUAACGUCUCC